GGUUAGCUCAGAGGGUAGAGCGCUCCACUAGAAAUGGAGAGGUCCCUGUUUCGACACCAGGAUUAGCCG
rnacentral:tRNA from 1 species